UGCUGCAAUUCUCGAGAUAUUUGGCCUGUUUGGAAUCCCACCGCCCAGUCUGAGCAGCUUUGGAAGAGAGACAUCAUCAACAUGAGGCGCUGUCCCAAAAGAGUGUCUUCCAAAUUGUCGAACUCUGUUUUCUAAACGCGAGGAUUACUCGUAAAAAUACCAUUCUAUGUUGGGUUUCUUCAAGGAGCUCCAUAUGAUUUUCAACUGCUGGCAUAGUUUUCAAAUAAUUUGCCAAUUUGACUAAUCCGGAUUCAACUUUCUCAAAGAGACCGUUGAGGCACAAUAGAAGCAUUUGUCCUUGAGUUAAGCGGACUUCACCAUCAAUACCUUCUCCCAGCAAGUCUUGGAAGCGUAGUCUCGUCAUCUCCAUCUAAUUGUUCAACAACGGUCAAUAAAAUAGAACUAAACUCGUAAAAAAUAAUAGGAUCGGAUAUCGUACUUUUGUGAGAUUUAUGUCAAUGCAAAGAACUUCAAGUUCUUCGUGAAGUUGCAAAACACUCUUAUCGGAGCACUCAAAAAGUCGAAUCAAUUCCGGAAGAACUAUAGUCGUGCCGUUAAAGAUGAAUUCUUGCAUGUCUUGGUGUAAUUGGUCCAGUAGUUUUAAUGCUGUCACUUCAUCUGCGUGAUAGAAAUGAUGAUUAAACAGAUUUCACGCUAAAAUGCAGAGAAUUUUGCCCGUU